rnacentral:rRNA from 1 species
GACGAACGCUGGCGGCGUGCCUAAUACAUGCAAGUCGAACGCAGUUGCGGACGGGUGAUUAACGCGUAGGUAACUGCAUCAUAGCGGGGGAUACCUAUUGGAACCGAUAGCUAAUACCGCAUCCUUUGAGCUGAACCUGCGUUGUAUUAGCUAGUUGGUGAGGUAAAGGCUCAACAAGGCGACGAUACAUAGCCGACCUUAGCGGGUGAUCGGCCAAAACGGGACUGAGAACAGGGCCAGGCUCCCACGGGGGGCAGCAGUAGGGAAUCUUUGGAAAUGGACGGAAGUCGGAACGAGCAACGCCGGGGUAGUGAAGAAGGUUUUCGGAUCGUAAAGCUAUGUUGUGAGAGAAGCGGUAACUAACCAGAAAGCGACGGCUAACUACGUGCCAGCAGCCGCGGUAAUAC